rnacentral:rRNA from 1 species
AGGUGGUGCAUGGUUGUCGUCAGCUCGUGUCGUGAGAUGUUGGGUUAAGUCCCGCAACGAGCGCAACCCUCGCCUCUAGUUGCCAGCAUUCGGUUGGGCACUCUAGAGGGACUGCCGGCGACAAGUCGGAGGAAGGUGGGGAUGACGUCAAGUCCUCAUGGCCCUUAUGGGUAGGGCUUCACACGUCAUACAAUGGUCGGUACAGAGGGUUGCCAACCCGCGAGGGGGAGCUAAUCCCACAAAGCCGAUCGUAGUCCGGAUCGCAGUCUGCAACUCGACUGCGUGAAGUCGGAAUCGCUAGUAAUCGCGGAUCAGCAUGUCGCGGUGAAUACGUUCCCGGGUCUU